CACGUAGGGGGCGAGCGUUGUUCGGAUUUACUGGGCGUAAAGCGCACGUAGGCGGAUCGUUAAGUCGGGGGUGAAAGCCUGUGGCUCAACCACAGAAUUGCCUUCGAUACUGUCGAGCUUGAGACCGGAAGAGGUAAGUGGAACUGCGAGUGUAGAGGUGAAAUUCGUAGAUAUUCGCAAGAACACCAGUGGCGAAGGCGGCUUACUGGUCCGGUUCUGACGCUGAGGCGCGAAAGCGUGGGGAGCAAACAGG
rnacentral:rRNA from 1 species